UGUGAAUGUUCGGGAACGUUCGUUUCAUCGAUACUUAGCAUCAAUCGCAGAACCUCCAAUCCACCACGGCCGGCAUCUUCCAUUUGAAGCCAGCCAAGAGCCGCCAUUGACAUCAGGUAGUCGAGUUCCUUUCCCAUCUCCUAUUCCCUUCGAAGCAGAGCAAUAUAAGUUGCAAGUAAAUGCGCGGAAGAGCUGCUAUCUUGACGGCAAAGGGUAAAUUGGAGCAAAUCAAUCAUAUAACAGGAUCAUGUGGUACCUUGGCCACUUCGACGCCACUUAAAAAAAGGGGGAAAUCCAGUAAGGAAGGCAACUCUGUAUCCUUUGAGAAGUCAGAUCCAAUCGUGGCCUUCAGCAAACCUCCACCACUGCCACCUUUUCUGGGGCCACUCGUUGUUCUCUCCUUGCUGGAAACAUUUUCGAGUCGUGAUGGAAAUGAGGAUUGACAGGUGAUCUGACUCUGCUCCCGUGAACUUGCUGUUCUUCUAGUUGAAGAAAACCUUUAAAAUGUAAAUAAGAAUGCCGAUUGUAUAGAAGAGUAUCUGGGCUGUGAAUCUCCAGAAGUUCAUGUAGCUUUCGAGGAGCGGAUUUAUGAAAGGUGCUAGUAGCAAUGAGUAUGUGUGCCGUGCCCAUCGGAUGAUGACAUGAGGACUCCUUAGGAACCCUGCAUGAGAUAGAUUUUCAAUGAGGGGGGUGGCGCUCAUGCUUUAAGUUGUGUAUAUCGUUCGGAUGUCGUAAGUGCCAAUGAAAUCUUACGCACAUUCAGCAGCUUUUGGGAACUUAUCGAACAGUGAUGUCACUAUCUUUAAUAGUAUCUGCCAUUUUCAGUAAAAUUCAGUAGUGAGAUCAAAUGCUAGACCUCCUAUGUCGGUUUUGUCUCAAAAAAUCAGGGAACUGUCGAGGAGAGAACAAAACUACCAGUCCUAGGCCUCCUGGUUUGAUAGGUGACUCGGUAAUUACUUGAGCCUUCCUGCGUGACAUUGAUUAAUUCGUGUAUGAGUAUGACUAUGUAUUUUCGUAUAAAACUGGAUUAAUGUAUUGGGAAUGUCAGCGUCAGCACCUUACUGUGAGUCCUUGUCCUUCACCUUCUCUAGAGAAUUCGUAGAAGCUGCAGCCCCUUGUAAAAGGAAUCGGUGUCUCUUUCCAUUCUGCCAAUAAGGUGGGGGACAUAAUCGAGCCAUGAACUGAAAGCUCGGUAACUAACAG